UUUCCUUUUCUCCCCCUGUAGCUGCCUUUGACUGGAUCAUUCCCCAUUUCUAGCGGCGAGAGCUCGGAGGCAGAGAGGCAUGGCGAUUUCGGUUGGAGGCCUCACUCGCUGAUCUCUCGAGGCGCUUUGGUGGGAGAGCGGGAGAGGCCAAGUCGACGCCAUGGCGAUUUGGCUGCGGUUUCUUCUCGGGUCGUUUGAUUCGUGACGCUCCUUCUUUCGUGGUGGUCCGCAAGCCCUGCGUCUCUCCCCCCGUCCCCUACCUGAGAUGUCAUGAGGUAGGAGAGAGAUCUUGGAGGAGUGAAUGCAUAAGAGUUGGGUGUUUACCUGUGUUUUUUCUGCAUCUCCAGCCAGAUUUGUGUCCCAGAUCAUGGAGGAAUUGCCCUCUCUGCUGGUGUGUUUAUGGUGCAUUUUCUUAAUGGAUUUAUGGUGUAAUUCCUACUGGACUUACAGUGUUUUUCUUAGUGGAUUCCAGUGUAAUUCUAAGUGGAUUUACACUAUAAUUCCUACUGUAUUUACAGUGGUUUUUAGUGGAUUUCACUGUAAUUCUAAGUAGAUUUACAGUGUAAUUCUAAGUGGAUUUACACUGCAGUUCCUACUGGAUUUACAGUGUUUUUCUUAGUGGAUUUCCACUUAAAUGCUUAGUGUAAUUAUUUAGUACAAAUUAUUUGGAUUGUUAGUAUAUUUUUAGCGGUA